CAUGUAGGCGGAUAGUUAAGUGUCUUGUGAAAUCCCUCGGCUCAACCGAGGAACUGCUGGGCAUACUGGCUAUCUUGAGGCAAGUAGGGGUGCAUGGAACUCUAGGUGGAGCGGUGGAAUGCGUAGAUAUCUAGAGGAACGCCGGUGGUGAAAACGGUGCACUGGGCUUGUUCUGACGCUGAGGUGCGAAAGCGUGGGUAGCGAACAGGAUUAGAUACCCUGGUAGUCC
rnacentral:rRNA from 1 species